rnacentral:rRNA from 1 species
CGAACGGGCGAGUAACACGUGGGCAACCUGCCCAAAANAGGGGGAUAACACUUGGAAACAGGUGCUAAUACCGCAUAACCAUAGUUACCGCAUGGUAACUAUGUAAAAGGUGGCUAUGCUACCGCUUUUGGAUGGGCCCGCGGCGCAUUAGCUAGUUGGUGGGGUAAAGGCUUACCAAGGCAAUGAUGCGUAGCCGAACUGAGAGGUUGAUCGGCCACAUUGGGACUGAGACACGGCCCAAACUCCUACGGGAGGCAGCAG